GGCCAGCGUGGUGUAGCGGUUGGAGUGCUGGACUGCGACUCUGGAGACCAGGGUUCCAAUCCCCGCUUGGCCA